rnacentral:rRNA from 1 species
AACGAACGCUGGCGGCAUGCCUAACACAUGCAAGUCGAACGAGACCUCCGGGACUAGUGGCGCAUGGGGGUGUAACGCGUGGGAACCUGCCCUUAGGUUUGGAAUAACUCCCCGACAGGGGUGCUAAUACCGGAUAAUGUCUUCUGACCAAAGAUUUAUCGCCCUUGGAUGGGCCCGCGUUGGAUUAGCUGGUUGGUAGGGUAAGAGCCUACCAAGGCGACGAUCCAUAGCUGGUCUGAGAGAAUGGUCAGCCACACUGAGACUAAGACGCGGCCCAGAAUCCUACGGGAUGGGGGAGUGGCGGAUAUAGGACAACCGCGGGAGGCAUGAUCCACCUAGGCUGGGUAAGCGAUGAUGGCAUUAAAGAAGAAAAGCUCUUUUACCCGGGAUGAUAAUGACGGUACCGAGAGAAUAAGCACCGGCUAACUCCGUG